AACGUAGGUGGCAAGCGUUAUCCGGAAUUACUGGGCGUAAAGGGUGUGCAGGCGGGGAAGCAAGUGGGGUAUUAAAUCUCCCAGCUUAACUGGGAUAGGUUAUGCCAUACUGCUUUUCUAGAGGACGAGAGAGGGGGGUGGAAUUCCGGGUGUAGUGGUGAAAUGCGUAGAUAUUGGGAGGAACACCAGUGGCGAAGGCGGCUCACUGGACCGGUACUGACGCUGAGGCGCGAAAGCGUGGGGAGCAAACGGG
rnacentral:rRNA from 1 species